rnacentral:rRNA from 1 species
UAGGGAAUCUUCCACAAUGGACGAAAGUCUGAUGGAGCAACGCCGCGUGAGCGAUGAAGGCCUUCGGGUCGUAAAGCUCUGUUGUUAGGGAAGAACAAGUACCGGAGUAACUGCCGGUACCUUGACGGUACCUAACCAGAAAGCCACGGCUAACUACGUGCCAGCAGCCGCGGUAAUACGUAGGUGGCAAGCGUUGUCCGGAAUUAUUGGGCGUAAAGCGCGCGCAGGCGGUCCUUUAAGUCUGAUGUGAAAGCCCACGGCUCAACCGUGGAGGGUCAUUGGAAACUGGGGGACUUGAGUGCAGAAGAGGAAAGCGGAAUUCCACGUGUAGCGGUGAAAUGCGUAGAGAUGUGGAGGAACACCAGUGGCGAAGGCGGCUUUCUGGUCUGUAACUGACGCUGAGGCGCGAAAGCGUGGGGAGCAAACAGGAUUAGAUACCCUGGUAGUCCACGCCGUAAACGAUGAGUGCUAAGUGUUAGGGGGUUUCCGCCCCUUAGUGCUGCAGCUAACGCAUUAAGCACUCCGCCUGGGGAGUACGGCCGCAAAGGCUGAAACUGCAAAUGAAUUGACGGGGUCAUAGCUGUUUCCUG